rnacentral:rRNA from 1 species
AGUUUGAUUCCGGGCUCCGGGACGAACGCUUGGCGGCAUGCCCUAAUCCAUCCAAGUCGAAACGCUGAAGCACUUUGCUUGCAGAGUGCGGAUGAGUGGCGAAACGGGUGAGUAACACGUGGGAAAUCUGCCUAGGAGUGGGGGAUAACAUUCGGAAACGGAUGCUAAUACCGCAUAUCUUCAUAGACCGCAUGGUCUAUGAAUGAAAGACGGCUUUGCUGUCGCUCUUAGAUGAUCCCGCGGCGUAUUAGUUAGUUGGUGGGGUAAAGGCCUACCAAGACAAUGAUACGUAGCCGACCUGAGAGGGUGAUCGGCCACACUGGGACUGAGACACGGCCCAGACUCCUACGGGAGGCAGCAGUAGGGAAUCUUCCACAAUGGGUGAAAACCUGAUGGAGCAAUGCCGCGUGAAUGAAGAAGGUCUUCGGAUCGUAAAGUUCUGUUAUUAGAGAAGAACAAGUCAAGGAGUAACUGUCUUGACUUUGACGGUACCUAACCAGAAAGUCACGGCUAACUACGUGCCAGCAGCCGCGGUAAUACGUAGGUGACAAGCGUUGUCCGGAAUUAUUGGGCGUAAAGGGAGCGCAGGCGGUUGGAAUAGUCUGAUGUGAAAGCCCACGGCUUAACCGUGGAAGGUCAUUGGAAACUGUCCAACUUGAAUACAGAAGAGGUAAGUGGAAUUCCAAGUGUAGCGGUGAAAUGCGUAGAUAUUUGGAGGAACACCAGUGGCGAAGGCGACUUACUGGUCUGUAAUUGACGCUGAGGCUCGAAAGCGUGGGUAGCAAACAGGAUUAGAUACCCUAGUAGUCCACGCCGUAAACGAUGAAUACUAAGUGUUGGAGAAAUUCAGUGCUACAGU